GUUUGAGGCGGAGUCUUGUUCAGUCACCCAGGCUGGAGUGCAGUGGAAAACCUCAGAAAAGGCACAAACUCACAGAAAACGUGAGAGCUGCCCUCUUGGUGCCCCCCUGUCACUAGAUGUUGGGGACUCCCAGCUCCCCGGAAGCCCAUCUCCCUUCUUAAGGGAAGCAGUGAGGUGAGUCCUCAAGUCCCUUUUCCCCAAAGAAGCUCUGCUGUCUUGCCCCAAAGAUUCCUCGAUCCCCUCUUGGGGCUGGUCAGAUCUGCCCUUGGCUUGAGAAGGGGCUGGGGAGCGAGCCUGCCCCUAAGGAGACUCGGACCUGCAGAACUAAGGGCCACCCCCAGGAGGGAAGGGCUGCCCUCAACACACGUCCCUUCUGGGGCCUGCCUCUGCUCGGCAGGGCAGGGGGUGCCCCAUGUGG
rnacentral:lncRNA from 10 species